rnacentral:SRP_RNA from 1 species
CCGUGCUAGGCGGGGAGCUAGCGGUGCCCUGUACCUGCAAUCCGCUACAGCAGGGUCGAACUCUUGCUUGAGGCUCUUGUCCUGUGGGACUGCUUGAGCUAAGUGGUGCUGAAGGCUGGGUCCUGCGCGGCAGAGCGCUAUGAACCCCGUCAGGUCCGAGAGGAAGCAGCGGUAAAUAGAUGUCUCUGGGUGCCGCAGGAAUACCUGGCUGGAGCUGGCUGGCUCGAGCAAGCUAUGGGGCGGAGUCGAGGGCAGGUGCACGG